ensembl:snRNA U2 U2 spliceosomal RNA
AUCACUUGGCCUUUUGGCUAAGGACAAGUGUACUAUCUGUUCUUAUUAGCUUAAUAUCUGAUAUGUCCUCUAUCCAAGGUCAGUAUGUUCAUGGAUGGACCGAGAGGGUAUUAUGCUAAGUGAAAUAAGUCAGAGUAAGACAAAUACCAUAUGAUUUCACUUUUAUGUGGAAUCUAAAAAAC